UCUGAAGAAGCUCGUGCUAAAGCAGCCGAAGCUGCCCAGAAACGGCAAGAGCAAUUUGAAAAAUCUGCAGCAGGAAGAGCUGCACGGGCGCAGCUACAGGGGAUGGCAAAGCAAUCUGCAAAUUCUAACAAAGGCGAACCGGUUCUAAAGUGGCAGAUGAGUUGAAGCUAGAAUCUGUCCUUGGUACAGCUGCGGUUUUUUUCCGUAAUUCAUUUGAUAGAAUUCAACCACAUUCUCUGCCUUCCCAGUUUCUCACCUUCUGAAGGCGCUUUGUCAAUAACUUUGCAACAGAUGCUGCAUCCCAAAUGUCAAUAUUUAUCGCCAGUUUUUUUUUUUUUUUUACUGUUCUGAUGAUGACAUAUGUUGUACAGAAGUAAUGUGGAAUGGUCCGAUUAUACCAUGAUAGUAGAUCAUCCGUGAUGUUUAUGUUGUUAUAUCGGAUAACAAAAAAAUUUUUUCCCCUUUUCUGAAGAACAUAACAGUUAGUUGAGCUCUUAUUGGAGUAUAAUGGGUUUGUUUUUGCUUGAAA